GACCUGGUGGUGUAACUGUAACACACCUGCGUAGAUUAAGCCAUCAGAAAAUUGUUCUGCAGGGGUCCCUCGUUCGAGUCGGGGUCAGGUCA